rnacentral:ncRNA from 2 species
CUCUUAUCAAGAGCAGGUUGAGGGACUAGCCCGAUGAUACCCGGCAACCGACACAAGAUGGCGUUAGCUCACCCCUCGCGGUGAUGCGGCGGCUGCCAGCUUGUGCACGGUGCUAAUUCUUGCGGAGCCUUUUACUGGGGAGCUUCUCCAGGCAAAGAUUCUGACAGAUGAGAG